UGUCGCCUUUCCAUAAAUACAAAUAGUUUUAAUCAUUCAACAUCAAAAUAUUUCAACAUUUAUUACUUAAGUUACUGCUGUAUUAAAUUCUAAAUUGUAUUACAAGCAGCGGGUUGUAAUAACAAAUUAAUAAUACUUAGUACAAGAAUAUAAUUCAUUCACUUAUUAAGUUUGAAAUAUUCAAUUAUUCCGCGGAAUAAGUAAUUUGUAAAAUUCCGCAAUUGAACAUGAUGUUCGUUUUCGGAAUUUCGCAAAUAACUUACAAUACUGAUAUAUCUGUAUUAUAAUUUUUUUAAUUAAUUAAAAUUUUUAUGUUUGUUUUAGAUUCUAAUGUAAGUGAAUUAAUUGCAAAUAGCGUAACAAUAGGGUAUGAUUGUAUAGAUGUAUGACUGCAGGUUAUAUGGUGCUAGAAGUAGUCCUAACAGUACAGCUAUUAAAUAAAAUAGUAUAACUAUUCCUGUGUUUUAUUUCUUAUUAUUAUC
rnacentral:misc_RNA from 1 species